ensembl:lncRNA
UAAAGGUCAAGGUCUCUUUGCAAACCAGGCCACUCCCCGCUCCCUCUCUGCAGGGCCCUGCGGUCCCCAUCCUACCUCCUCCAGGCUUUCAGCUGGCGGCAUCAGCGCUCUCUGUCUGACCUUCAGCUGACCUUUCUGUAACUGACUUCCCCCGUGGAUGAGAGGGAGCAAAGUUUCAGGUUAAUGUCAAAAGGAUUUUAAUCCUUGCUCCACUCAGAUCCCUCCUGUGCAUGUGCCCUGAGGAGGCAGGAAGGACAGAGAGAGCAUCAGGUAUCAGGGCCUCAGUCCUAACUCACAUCAAGGAGAAGUUAUUAGUCAGCCCUGUGCCCAGGAUUUUUCCUGCCCUCUGCUGAGGCAAAAUCAAAUGAAAAGUAAAACAUGAUGUCACAUUCCUGGUGCCCAGGAGCCCACUGGAAACAAUCGGAGGACAUGAGAAGCUCUUGAUAGCAGUAGUGCCGACUGCCAAGGAUCUUCCCCGGCUCUCUGCUCUCCUCAGCAUCUGAUGAAUAUUCAGACCGUUCGGCGCACAAAACAUCAAGCCAAAAAACUUCUGGAAGUGGACAGUGGUGAUGGUCGCACAACACUGUGGAGGCGUACAUUGGGAAAUGAUCACUAAAAUAAAUCUAAGAUCCAUUCUUGAGUCUCUCCUUUGCUCACCCCACACGACCAGUCUACCAAACUACCAAGUCUUGUCACCUUUACCUCCAGAAGACUUCUGGAAUGCGUCCCCUCCAUCUCCACCACCACGCCCUCGUGCAAGCUACCCGCUUGGAUUACCACCGCGGACAGAAACUCCACCAAGAGCAGGAAGCCGUACUGCAGUGUCCCCAGCACCCAGAAUGGUGCCUGGCACAUAGGAGGCACACAACAAGUGUGACUGAGUGAAGGAGUGAAGAAUUAAAGUGAAUUUCCCGGAUAUCAGGAAUAUCACUUAUAGUGGGUUGAAUGGUGGUGCCCAAAAACAUAUGCCUUUGGACCUGAAUCUGUGAAUGGGACCUUAUUUGGCAAAACAGUCUUUGAAGAUAUAAUUAAGUUAAGGAUCUUGAGAUGAGAUCAUUCUGGAUUACCCAGAUGGGCCCUAAAUCCAAGGACAAAUGUCCUCAUAAAACACAGAAGACACAGAGAAGACACAGACACAGAGGAGACAGCCAUGUGAGGACAGAGGCAGAGAGUGGAGAGAGGCUGCCACAAACCAAGGAAUGUCUAGAGCCCCCAGAAUCGGGAAGAAGCAAGCGAGGAUCCUCCUGCUUUGAGCCUUGGGCAGGAGCGUGGCCCUGCCAACACCUUGAUUUCAGACUUCCGGCUUCCAGAGCCUUGAGACAAUGAAUUUUUGUUGUUUUAAAUCACCCGGUUGGUGGUAAUUUGUUACGGCAGCCAGAGGACACUCCCCCAGUCUACCUUCUUUUGAACUCGUCUGGCUCACGGUACUGUGUGUUCCCUCCGACGUUAAAUUAACCGUGUAAACCAGGAAGUGAUCAUCUUCCGUUGUGCUCGUCCUAUUUCCAUCACCUGAUAGUUAAAGGAAGGGUGUGACUGUUUGACUUCUUGGUGUUGUCCACAGCAGGUCAGACACGGGUUACGAAGCAAUGACUCUGCUUCCAUGAUGGAUCUGGGGAUUUUGCUGAUCUGCAGUCCCUCAAGUCUGGCCUUUACCUUCUGUAACCUCAGUCUCCCCUGAACUUAACUACCGUGGAAAGGGUUUUUAAGCCUUGUUCUCUGACUGGGACUUCUAGGAUUGCCAACACGACUGAGUGCUGCGAAGGGGACCGCCAAGGGGAGGUUCACGGGCUUUGCUCUCAGUUCCUCAUUUGCUCCAUCUGUUGGCACACACCCAAGUCUGGUGGCAUUCACUGGGGCCUUCCCAGGCAAAGGAGGCAAGGACAGUGGAAGAGAGAAUCAAAAGGAAAAAAAUACCCACCAGAAAGCAGGAGAAAUAGAAGGCCCAAGGAAAAAGUAAGGAGCUCAGAGUUGGUUAGUCAGUAAAAACCAGUUCUGAACAGAAAAAACUGUGAUCUGGCCUUCUGGGCACCAAAUAAAAAGCAAAUCCCUAAGUGCGUAGGUAGGAGCUGGCAGCCAUGUUAGGGAAUAGUGGACACUUGUGUUUUCCUGAGGCUAUACUUCUGUUUUUCUUUUCUUUUUGACUGUGGGUUUUUCCACUUUCUCUUUCCUGCCCAGGCUUCUUUGGGGAUUCUCGUGUUCCUUUGCAACAAGGUGCUUCUCAUCUUGUUGGAGAGAAGAGACUCUGUAAAUGCUUCACGAAGGACACUGGAAACCUCUGCUCCCAUCUGUGCCUGUUUGAAUUAUGAGGCAUGGAUCAUGGACUUUCCUGCACUGGGUCAGUGGAGGGCACGUGUGGCCAGGUGGACAGCAUCCAGGAUAGAGCCGAGUGGGCAGUCUUUCUACUUUCCAUUUCCCUCCACUUCUUUUUUAUGGAUUUCUUCCCCUAUUUUCUUCCCAAAUACAGAAAGGAGCAAAAAUUAGUGUGAAGCAAGAAGUGAAGAUUAAGAGAGAAAAAGAACAGAGGAAAAUAGGAAGGAAGGUGGCGCUCCCCUGGUAAAAACAUGGGGCUUACCUGAUGACCACAUAGCAAAGGUGAUACGAACAAUUUAGAGAAAAGUUCUCUCCAACUCAUGUAAGGAAGUCCUGCUCAGUAAGCAAAUUAGGGGUGCUAAGAACCUUCUAGAGAGUUAAGACUCAGGUUGGAUUCCUCCUUCAGGGAUAGAUUUUCUCAAGCUCAGGCUGUGAAGAUUGAAAGUGGCCACUGAAGAAAAUGGACUUGAAGGGAAAGAAGUUUCAAUCUGCCCCAGAAGGUAUAAUCUGAGAAGAAAGGAGAGUCACACAGACACACGUGCUUUUGCAUGUACCCACACACACAUACACACACGCACACUUUGGCCUAGCCUAAGCGUGUCUGGGCCUUAACUUAUCUUAAGAAGGUUCUGAGAGGAUCAAGAUCGUGGCGAAGGCAGGAUGGGAAAGUGGACACUGGAAGGGGUGGUCUUUGUGUGGUAUCCCUGGGACCAGCCCUGGGGUAAAUAUUUAAAAAUAAUUUUAUUGUCAAAUAAAACGCAAAUACACACACAACAGUAACAUAAAUCUUAAAACAAAAUCAACCACAGGUACACAAAACAAAUGUAGGGCUUUGAUAAAUUAUUAUAAGGUGAACAGCUUUGUAACCACUACCCAGGUCUAAAAGCAGAACUUGCCCAGCCUAUUCCCAAAGUCCCUUCUGAGCGCCCCCUCCCAGCUCAAACCCCUCACUCCCCCAGCUGCAGCUCCCUCCUCACUUUUGAGGAAUCACAGACUUGAGUUUUCAUAGUCUUGUCACCCAGGUGUGAAUCACCAGACACUACGGUUUAUUUAGUCUCACCCAUUUUUUAACUGGAUGUGUCUUUUUGGUCUCUUUAAUUUCUUGAUUCCCCUUGGAUCCUUCUCUUCCCUACGGUUUCCCUGUGGCAGAUCUGAAGAGUUUCCUACAGUCUGGAUUUUUGCUGGUUACAUCCUCACGGUGCUGGGAAAGCCCUUGGCUACCAUUUGAGAGGACAGUGGAUGUAGUGGAAAGACCCGUGGGCAGAGAUCUGAGUGUCCUCCUGCUCCGAUACUAACUAGGAAACAAUCUGGCACAGCCAGGAGAUGUAUGGUGGGGCAGUGACAGGGAUAAGGGCCAUGGAGUCCAGUGGAGCAGCAAUCCAUUCCUGGUUCCAGGACUUAGGACUCUGUGGUUCUGUAUCCUCAUCUAUAUAAAGGACAUGCUACUCAUAUCACGGGUCAUUGUAAGGAUUCAGUGAGAAAAGCUCUUUGUGCUGUGCCUGAUAUAUAAUAAGUAUUUUAUACUGCUACUAUUAUUAUUUACUGUUACUAUUAUUGUAAAAAUCACUUUGGGCAGACCAGCUCACCUCCGCGAACUACAGGUUAGCCAUCCAAAGAAUGAGUCUUUUUAUGUUGCACAGUUAAAAACACAUGCCUUUAAAAAUACAUCUUAAUAAGUUGAAAUAUGUGUCCACUUUCCUUCUUCCUACAAGGCUUCUCCUCUUCUCUAUUAUAGCUUUGGCAUUUGAACACGUUUUAAACAAAUGAGUCAGUUGGGGUGAGGUGAUUAAUUUGCUUGAGCCAGACGUGUGUCAGCCUUCCUCUGGGGAGGCAGUGGUGGGGAAGGUGCUCAUUUCAUGCCUCGUCAAGAACACACUGAGUGAUAUAACCUUCAACCAUCAAGCCCUGCCUUCCCCAUGAGUCUGUUUUAAGGUUCAAACAAGAUGAUAACAUUCUUCAAAUCCUUUGAGAGUGAGAGCACUGGUCAAGGGCAGGUGGUGCUUUUUGUGCAUUUCAAUCUUACAGACCUGAAGCCCGGGACAUGGUUCUCCCCCACACCUGGCUGGUGGUGGUGCUGGGACUAGAACCCAGGCCCUGACCCUCAGUCCGAGGUAAAGCAUGUCUGGCAGAGUGCUUAACUGCAUCUCGUGUCUCACAACUCCUUCAAUUAAAAGCAGUUUAUAUGAUGCCACUAUUCCACUUCUGGGUAUUUAUCCAAAGAACAUGAAAACAUUAAUUCAAAAAGAUAUGUACAGCCCUCUGUUCAUCACAGCAUUAUUCACAAUAGCCAAGACGUGGAAGCAACCCAAGUGCCCGUGAAUGGAUGAAUAGAUACAGAAGAUAUGGUAUAUAUG